GUUGUCCAAAGGAUCCAGAUAACUAUAGAGCUAUAACAUUAAUUAGUUGUAUAGGGAAAUUAUUCACUUCCAUAAUCAAUACUCGAUUGAAUUUUUUUGCAAAUGAAAUUUCACUUAUACAUGAAAAUCAGGCGGGUUUUAGAAAGGGGUAUUCAACUGUAGACAAUAUUUUUGUGCUUCAUGCACUCAUAGAGCUGUAUUUCUCAUUUGGAAAAAAACUUUUUUGUACUUUUGUAGACUUUCGGAAAGCAUUCGAUACUGUAUCAAGAUCUGGUUUAUGGGAAAAACUUCAAUUGAGUAAUAUUAAAGGGAAGUGCUUUAAAGUUAUUUUUAAUAUGUACCAAGGAAUCAAAUCA
rnacentral:lncRNA from 1 species